rnacentral:rRNA from 1 species
UGUUAUCGACAUGUGAAUUCAUAGCAUGUCAGAAGGCAGACCCGGAGAACUGAAACAUCUUAGUACCCGGAGGAAGAGAAAGAAAAAUCGAUUCCCUGAGUAGCGGCGAGCGAAACGGGAAGAGCCCAAACCAACAAGCUUGCUUGUUGGGGUUGUAGGACACUCUAUACGGAGUUACAAAAGAACAUGUUAGACGAAUCAUCUGGAAAGAUGAAUCAAAGAAGGUAAUAAUCCUGUAGUCGA